GAAACAAUAAAAUCUCAGGACGAUGAUGAAGACAAUAGAGACAACGAAAAGGAUGGUGAAUUUGACGAAAGGAAUAACAAGGAAAUUCAAGACGUAUCUAAUAUACUUGAACAAGGUGUGGCCAAUGAUCAAAUACAUAUACCAAUACGUCCAUUAGAAGAGGUUAAUUUGCAUGAUCACGCAAUUAUGAAUGUUAGUGGUGUCAAUGAACAAAAUGAUCAUGCCAGAAAG